AGCGAACGCUGGCGGCAGGCUUAACACAUGCAAGUCGAGCGGGCAUCUUCGGAUGUCAGCGGCAGACGGGUGAGUAACACGUGGGAACGUACCCUUCGGUUCGGAACAACUCUGGGAAACUGGAGCUAAUACCGGAUACGCCCUUAUGGGGAAAGGUUUACUGCCGAAGGAUCGGCCCGCGUCUGAUUAGCUAGUUGGUGGGGUAACGGCCUACCAAGGCGACGAUCAGUAGCUGGUCUGAGAGGAUGAUCAGCCACACUGGGACUGAGACACGGCCCAGACUCCUACGGGAGGCGGCAGUGGGGAAUAUUGGACAAUGGGCGCAAGCCUGAUCCAGCCAUGCCGCGUGAGUGAUGAAGGCCUUAGGGUUGUAAAGCUCUUUUGUCCGGGACGAUAAUGACGGUACCGGAAGAAUAAGCCCCGGCUAACUUCGUG
rnacentral:rRNA from 1 species